GACAUAGGUUGCGAACGUUAUCCGGAAUGAUUGGGCGUAAAGCGUCCGCAGGUGGCUAUGUAAGUCUGCUGUUAAAGAGUGAGGCUCAACCUCAUAAGAGCAGUGGAAACUACAUGGCUAGAGUGCGUUCGGGGCAGAGGGAAUUCCUGGUGUAGCGGUGAAAUGCGUAGAGAUCCGGAGGAACACCGACGGCGUAGGCAGCGCCCUGGACGACACCUGACGCUGAGGCACGAAAGCUGGGGGAGCGAACAGG
rnacentral:rRNA from 1 species